UUUUCAGACCAGUGAAUUUCCAUAUGGUUACGUUCAUUUUGUGUACUGGGAGAGGUGAGUUUUGGGUUUUUUCAGAUGGAUAUUUUGGAUUAGGGCAUGGAAAAAAAAAAUCAGUUUUUGCAUGGUGUUUGACCUCUGGUUUGGACCUCUGUUUUCAAGCAUCUCAUUCAUACAUUGUUUGAUUGAAGAUGAUUAUUUGUAUUUCGAAUCAAUUUUUUGCAUGUUUUUCAUACAUUCUUAAUCGUGUGUUGUGCCUUUUACAAGGUUAGUACUGCUAGCUGGGUCUUCUGAUAGUGCAGAGUUUUUGCAUUGUAAGGAAAAUGCAUGCAUCAUUAGAUAAAAAAAUGGGAUGGUGUUGGUUAAACAGUGAGAAAGGCUAAGGAAAGAAGGAAUAACACAAAGGAGGUUAACUGGUGACAAGCAGAAUACUGCCAUGCUGAUUGCACAAUACUGCAAUUUUGUACCCCUAGCCAAUGAAUAUGUGAGAAGUUGGAUUGCAAAGGAACGUGGGCUUGCUUCAUGGUUGAUAGUUAUCCAGAAGUUGUCCAGGAGCUGCACUGAACUGAAGAUUUAAAAAUUCUUACCCUAAAUAUUUUGAAUGCUUGAUAUAAUGUCCAUCAAGUGCGAUGUGCCUGGUGUACUUCAUUUGUAUAUCUUUCAUUUUAAGAGAUGAUGAGGGGAAUUUAUUGUACAGUCCAAUGGAUAUGUAUGCAAAGCUUUCUUGUAUGGCACUUGAAAAUGGAGCCACACUUAAUAGCUGAGAGUGUACGGGGUAAUAUGUUGAAUGACUUAUAGAUUUAAAGGUGA